rnacentral:rRNA from 1 species
UACGAAGGGGGCUAGCGUUGUUCGGAAUUACUGGGCGUAAAGCGCACGUAGGCGGAUCGAUCAGUCAGGGGUGAAAUCCCAGGGCUCAACCCUGGAACUGCCUUUGAUACUGUCGAUCUGGAGUAUGGAAGAGGUGGAGUGGAAUUCCGAGUGUAGAGGUGAAAUUCGUAGAUAUUCGGAGGAACACCAGUGGCGAAGGCGGCUCACUGGUCCAUUCUGACGCUGAGGUGCGAAAGCGUGGGGAG